GAGGCACUGGGACUAAGGGAUGGAGCACAACUGUGAUUUACACAUUAAAUCCUGGCCUCCAAAAAUGUAGGUCUCCAGUGGCACAGCUAAGACAAGGAAGCUCAAUUUUGCACUGGCUGGGGGUAGGGUAAGAUGUUAAAGAGAAAUAACAAUGCAGUAGAGAUAAGACAUUGGGGCCUGCUCUCCCUACCUUUCACCUCC
rnacentral:lncRNA from 1 species